rnacentral:tRNA from 2 species
GCGUUUGUGGUUUAGUGGUAAAAUCCGUCGUUGCCAUCUUCCAUGCGAGUGUGAGAAGCACAAUCGACGGGCCCCGGGUUCGAUUCCCGGCGAACGCA